rnacentral:rRNA from 1 species
GGCGCCUGUAGAGAGUGCUGGUGUUGGGAGCGAUAUUCAGUGCCGAAGUUAACACAAUAAGCACUCCGCCUGGGGAGUACGGUCGCAAGACUGAAACUCAAAGGAAUUGACGGGGACCCGCACAAGCAGCGGAGCAUGUGGUUUAAUUCGAAGCAACGCGAAGAACCUUACCAAGGUUUGACAUCCCCUUGACAGAUGCAGAGAUGUGUCCUCCCCUUCGGGGGCAAGGGAGACAGGUGGUGCAUGGUUGUCGUCAGCUCGUGUCGUGAGAUGUUGGGUUAAGUCCCGCAACGAGCGCAACCCUUAUCCUUAGUUGCCAGCAAGUAAUGUUGGGCACUCUAAGGAGACUGCCGGUGAUAAACCGGAGGAAGGUGGGGAUGACGUCAAAUCAUCAUGCCCCUUAUAUCUUGGGCUACACACGUGCUACAAUGGUCGGUACAAAGGGAAGCGAAGGAGUGAUCUGGAGCAAAUCCCAAUAAACCGAUCCCAGUUCGGAUUGUAGGCUGCAACUCGCCUACAUGAAGUUGGAGUUGCUAGUAAUCGCGAAUCAGAACGUCGCGGUGAAUGCGUUCCCGGGUCUUGUACACACCGCCCGUCACACCAUGGAAGUUGGUAAUACCCAAAGUCGCUGAGCUAACCGCAAGGAGGCAGGCGCCUAAGGUAGGAUCAAUGACUGGGGUGAAGUCGUAACAA